rnacentral:rRNA from 1 species
CUACGGGAUGCUGCAGUAAGGAAUAUUGCGCAAUGGAGGCAACUCUGACGCAGCCAUGCCGCGUGCAGGAAGAAGGCCUUAUGGGUCGUAAACUGCUUUUAUUUAGGAAUAAACCCCCGAACGUGUUCGGGGCUGAAGGUACUAAACGAAUAAGCACCGGCUAACUCCGUGCCAGCAGCCGCGGUAAUACGGAGGGUGCAAGCGUUAUCCGGAUUUAUUGGGUUUAAAGGGUGCGCAGGCGGGCUAUUAAGUCAGUGGUGAAAUCCCGGGGCUCAACUCCGGAACUGCCAUUGAUACUGAUAGUCUUGAGUUUGGUUGAAGUGGGCGGAAUGUAGCAUGUAGCGGUGAAAUGCAUAGAUAUGCUACAGAACACCAAUCGCGAAGGCAGCUCACCAAGCCAAAACUGACGCUCAUGCACGAAAGUGUGGGGAUCAAACAGGAUUAGAUACCCUUGUAGUC